UGGCGGCGUGCUUAACACAUGCAAGUCGAACGGAAAGGCCCCAGCUUGCUGGGGUACUCGAGUGGCGAACGGGUGAGUAACACGUGGGUGAUCUGCCCUGCACUUCGGGAUAAGCCUGGGAAACUGGGUCUAAUACCGGAUAGGACCCUCCUUUAGUGUGGGGGGUGGAAAGAUUUUUCGGUGUGGGAUGAGCCCGCGGCCUAUCAGCUUGUUGGUGGGGUAAUGGCCUACCAAGGCGUCGACGGGUAGCCGGCCUGAGAGGGUGGACGGCCACAUUGGGACUGAGAUACGGCCCAGACUCCUACGGGAGGCAGCAGUGGGGAAUAUUGCACAAUGGGCGGAAGCCUGAUGCAGCGACGCCGCGUGGGGGAUGACGGCCUUCGGGUUGUAAACCUCUUUCGACAGGGACGAAGCCCUUUAGGGUGACGGUACCUGUAUAAGAAGCACCGGCUAACUACGUGCCAGCAGCCGCGGUAAUACGUAGGGUGCGAGCGUUGUCCGGAAUUACUGGGCGUAAAGAGCUCGUAGGUGGUUUGUCGCGUCGUCUGUGAAAUUCCGGGGCUUAACCUCGGGCGUGCAGGCGAUACGGGCAAUACUUGAGUGCUGUAGGGGAGACUGGAAUUCCUGGUGUAGCGGUGAAAUGCGCAGAUAUCAGGAGGAACACCGAUGGCGAAGGCAGGUCUCUGGGCAGUAACUGACGCUGAGGAGCGAAAGCAUGGGUAGCGAACAGGAUUAGAUACCCUGGUAGUCCAUGCCGUAAACGGUGGGCGCUAGGUGUAGGGGUCUUCCACGACUUCUGUGCCGUAGCUAACGCAUUAAGCGCCCCGCCUGGGGAGUACGGCCGCAAGGCUAAAACUCAAAGGAAUUGACGGGGGCCCGCACAAGCGGCGGAGCAUGUGGAUUAAUUCGAUGCAACGCGAAGAACCUUACCUGGGCUUGACAUACACCGGACCGGGCCAGAGAUGGUCCUUCCCUUGUGGCUGGUGUACAGGUGGUGCAUGGUUGUCGUCAGCUCGUGUCGUGA
rnacentral:rRNA from 1 species